GACGAACGCUGGCGGCGUGCUUAACACAUGCAAGUCGAACGAAGUGGCGAACGGGUGAGUAACGCGUAAUCAACCUGCCCUUCUGAGGGGGACAACAGUUGGAAACGACUGCUAAUACCGCAUACUGAAGGUGGGGAUUUCGUCGGAUAAGCGAGUUGGAGGGGUAACGGCCCACAAAGGCGAUGAUCAGUAGCCGGUCUGGGGGGAGGAACGGCCACAUUGGGACUGAGACACGGGCCAGACUCCUACGGGGGGCAGCAGUGGGGAAUCUUCCGAAAUGGACGAAAGUCUGACGGAGCAACGCCGCGUGAGUGAUGACGGCCUUCGGGUUGUAAAGCUAUGUUAAUCGGGACGCGGUACCGGAAUAGAAAGCCACGGCUAACUACGUGCCAGCCGCCGCGGUAAUUC
rnacentral:rRNA from 1 species